UACGGGGGGGGCAAGCGUUGUUCGGAAUUACUGGGCGUAAAGGGCUUGUAGGUGGCCAACUAAGUCAGACGUGAAAUCCCUCAGCUUAACUGGGGAACUGCGUCUGAUACUGGAUGGCUUGAGAUUGGGAGAGGGACGCGGAAUUCCAGGUGUAGCGGUGAAAUGCGUAGAUAUCUGGAGGAACACCGGUGGCGAAGGCGGCGUCCUGGACCAACACUGACACUGAAGAGCGAAAGCCAGGGGAGCAAACGGG
rnacentral:rRNA from 1 species